CAAAAAAAGCCCAAGAAGUACUUUGAGGGGAGGAGGAAAGUAGUGCUCUCGGGAGGCACGGCAAACGGUAGGCGGAGGUUCGGGAACUCCCCCCCCCCCCAAAAAAAAAAAAAAAAAAAAAAAAAAAAAAAGCCCCAGGAAGAAGCACUUCGGGGGGGGAGGAAAAAGAGCAGUGCGCUCGGGAGGCACGGAAAACGGUAGGCAGAGAUUCGGAAACUCCAGAAAGAAAAAAAUAAUGCCCCAGGAAGAAGCACUUCGAGGGGAGGAAAAAGCAGUGCGCUCGGGAGGCACGGAAAACGGUAGGCGGAGGUUCGGGAACUCCAGAAAAAAAAAAAAAAAGCCA